UCUCUUUUGACUCUCCACCCUCUCUCGCUCGAAUCUGACUGGCCACAGUCGAAGCUCUUCAUAUGCAUCGCCAUUCUCACACUCUUCGGAGCUUCCAAAGCAAAUUAAUCAACCACAACACAUUGUAGCGAUCUUCUUCUUCUUCAUCUCUCUCUCUUUCUUCAAUCGCCGGAGCUUCCACGGCUGCUUAUUCCGCUGUCGGAUCAGUCUUCGUCGCCUUCAAAUCCGUCGAAAUUUCUGCUCAUUCUAGCAAUUUGAAACUCUCUAAUUUCCGACAUUGCUCUCCGAUUUCAAGCCGAGUCGGAUCUAUUUAGCUCUGACAUAGCCUUAACUCGCAUUGCGGAUCCCGAAGCUCCUUUGCUUCGUCUGGUAUUCGUUCUCUUUGUUUUGGCAAAUCCUCUGAUCACUGGUCGAAGCUCUCCUUUGGAUCACAAGCUUCGAAGUUUGCAAAAAAUGUGAGGGAUUCACAGCUUCAGGUCAAGCCCAAACCUAACUCAGCUAGCGUAUAAGGACUUCUGAGAUACUUAAUGUUGACAGUUAUUUCAUUGAUUUAAGGUGGUUGCAGGUAUGACCGGUAAAAAACAAAGGGUAGUAUGGAUAUUAGAAGUAAGCAAUGAUUUGUCUUAUCCUGCCUCCAUUCCCCUUCCCCUCUUACUCUGAUUAGAGAUUGGAAUAAGAUUUUUUUAUCAUGUGAGAACAAAGAAUUAUUGUUGCUACUGGUUAUUCACCUUUAUUUUUGCUUGUGGAUUUUAAUGCUGUUAAAACAUGUGGUUUCUCAUGCUAA